UCGGCAAGCCGGCUUAUCGCUGCGCCCGUUGGGGCGGAGAGGAAAGUCCGGGCAACGCAGAGCAUCCUGCUUCCUAACGGGAAGGCACCUGGCGGGCGACGGCCAGGUGACAGCAGUGCCACAGAAAAGUACCGCCCACUAAUUAAUUAGGAAUGGGGAAUUAGGGAUCAUUCUUAAUUCUCAAUUUUAAAUUCUUAAUUAAAAAUGGGUAAGGGUGAAAAGGUGCGGUAAGAGCGCACCAGCGGCUGGGCGACCAGUCCGGCUGGGUAAACCUCAGGAGUUGAAAGACCAAAUAGGCUGGCAGCGUCACUCCCCCGGGAGUGGCUAAGGGCGGCUCGUCCGAUGUCAGUGGGUAGGUUGAUGGAGCCCCUCCGUGAGGGCGGGCCUAGAUAAAUGAUAAGCCAUCUGCCGCCAAGGCAGAGGACAGAACCCGGCUUACAGGCUUGCCGAUUUU
rnacentral:RNase_P_RNA from 1 species